rnacentral:lncRNA from 1 species
UGUCGGCUUCUCCCGGUUAGGAUUCCUUCAGUGUUCAUGGUUCAGGAGCUUCUCCCAGUUAGGAUUCCUUCAGUGUUCAUGGUUCAGGAGGUUUCUACCGGGAGCCCAGUUUUCCACAGAGGUCUCCUCCUCUCCAAAACAAACGGAACAGCUAAAAACACUGAAUAAAGCAGUUCCACCUUAAAAAUCACUGCUUCUCCCACACUGCUGGAGGGGCUGCGAGCCGAGCUGCUGCUAACUUUAGCUCAGCUUGUUUCUUUGAUAACUUAAGAUCCAGACGUCCAAUGACUAAAAUCCUUCAUCCAGUUCUAAUCUAGAGUUAAAAAGCACCAAGAUCUAAACAGUGGAUGGUAACAAUGUGGCUUCAGACUGGAUAAACAGUCAAUGUAUGACAGCUUCUGGCAGACAACCACAACGCUGACGCAGGCACAAAGGGGAUAUGACGCCAUUGACAGGCGACCGGUGAAACGCAGCGUUACCUGAAUAAAAUGACAGAUUUCUCUGAGUUUGAACAUAAAUAACAACAAACAAGGCUGACAUGUUACAGACUGUAGCUUUAACAUUGUUUUAUUUUACAAAUUUUAUGAGAACAGACUAUAAACAUGAUUUUGAGCUGAUGAUACGAGUCCGGAGCCUGUAAAACCUGGUUAAAUACAAUGGUGUUUGGUCUGCUUUCUCUUUGAUUGUAGCUGUCAAUACUUUUUACUUAGCUCUACCCUGAAAAUCCUAAAUAACACAGUGGAUUUGGAUUUUUAUCACUUGACUGUUAUUGGAGUGCUUGUUCACAAGCAUUAUUGACUGCAAUCAUAAGUGGGGUGAUACACUGCGUAUUUCUUUAUGAAUUAAUGACUUUUGUCAGAUAAAAAGAAAUAUUUGUUCAUGCAUACCUAUUUAUUUAUAUAUGGCAUUACAUAUGUUUGCUUAUUUGGAAAUGUGCUCCAUGGUCAUGUCUGUAUUUCUUUACCUUCAUCAAAGGUGAAAGCUUAGUUUGGGUUUAAAUAAUAUCAGAAGAAAAACAAUACACAUCAUUUAAAGGGAAAAACAUUAUUACAAUAAAUUAAAGAACAGAAUAAACCUAGCAGUGUCACAAUAAUAUCAUAAAGCGUCCAAGGCCAUUGUACUGUACACAGUUGCUGUUCUAAUUUCAAUUGAAAAAUCUAAUUUUGUUGUUCAAUCUUGUGUUGUAUAAUGAUAAAGAAAAUAUCUUGAUCUUCGAUUGACUGAAAUAAUUAAACAGCCACAAUAAGAUUAAGAAUUUUGUUAAUUAUCACAAUAUUAGUAUUGUAGGCAACACUGGCCCCUCUAACUUGUAAUCUCAGAGUAUAGCUUGAAAAAUAAAUUUCUUAUAAAUAUUUCACGAUUUGAACUUAAUCUUUACCCUUCACACAAUAAAUGUCCACAGCGGAUCUCAAUAUCUCUUUUUCUUUUGAUGACGUCUAAGCAGAAUCGUGUC